rnacentral:lncRNA from 1 species
UCUUUCCUCUCUUGACAUCUAUGAUGACUCCAACCGUUGAUAAUAAUGGUCUACUUAGGAGGAUUGGGAUUUUGUUGUCUUCUUUAAUGUCCAUGACAAUAAAAUCUGUUGGAAUAUAGAGUUGGUCAAUCCUAACUAUAAUGUCUUUUAAUAUGCCUAUUGGAUAUUUAACGGAUCUAUCGGCUAAUUGAAGGGAUGUCCUAGUUGGUUGCAUUUCUCCUAGGUUUAACCCAUUACAAACGGCUAAAGUCAUUAAGCUUACAUUGGC